CCUCUUUCAGAUCAAGGAGUGAAUGGGAAGGUCAGGAGGAGGAAAUAGGCACACCUCCCAGAAUAGAACAGACAGGAGAUUGGAUUGAAGCUGAAUGUAUCCCAGGAAAAACAUAGAGCCCAACCACAUGUGGACCAACUCAGCAGCAUGAGCCAGAAAGAGACCAGCGAGAGCGCCCCUGAACCAAUAAGUGACCAGUUACCUAAGAAUAUUUCUGCCUCUGCUACCCUACCCCAGAGGAACUUCAUUACCUCUGCAUGGCAAGAUGAAUUGAGGACAAGUCAUGGCCCCAGAUCCAGCCGCAGCUUACAAAUUCCUUCACACUUGAGAUUGAGUAAAGCUUUGAACUCAAAUUACUUUUUUUUUUUUUUUCCAAUGCAAUCCCACCUGCUUCAUUUGCUUCAGGUUUAUUCUUUCAACAUGAAAAAUAAGGCAGGUCAUUAAGUUGAAGAGGAGGAAUACAGUGGUUUGCAAAGGUCUCCAUUUACCCUCUCCAGAUUCUUGCCCGUGUGUGCCAUUGGCACCUACAUUUAAUCCGCUGGAUCAGUUCAACUUUACUCAUUUUUGAAGGCCUUGUGAGGCUAUUUAAUUUUAUCAUCAGAUGUUUACCCCAACAGUGGGUCUUGGCAGGGACUAUAAGGCCUAUCCAGCUGGAACUCUGAAUGAAAAUUUUUCUAAAUGAAAUUUUUUUUUCUUUUUUUUUUUUUUAAAGAUUUUAUUUAUUUUGAC
rnacentral:lncRNA from 1 species